UACGGGGGGAGCAAGCGUUGUCCGGAAUCAUUGGGCGUAAAGCGCGCGUAGGCGGCCCGGUAAGUCCGCUGUGAAAGUCAAAGGCUCAACCUUUGAAUGUCAGCGGAUACUGCCGGGCUAGAGUCCGGAAGAGGCGAGUGGAACUCCUGGUGUAGCGGUGGAAUGCGCAGAUAUCAGGAAGAACACCAACGGCGAAGGCAGCUCGCUGGGACGGAACUGACGCUGAGGCGCGAAAGCGUGGGGAGCGAACAGG
rnacentral:rRNA from 1 species